ensembl:lncRNA
CAUGAGCUUAGCAUGCUAAAAUGCAUUAAACGUUAAGAAAGGAUUAAGAGAAGGCCUCAGGUCAGAACCAAGUUUGUGCUUGUUCAUUUGUUCUCUCUCUCUCUUGCUUUCCUGUUACAGAGCUGAAUGAGAAAGGCUGACCAUGAGGCCCAGGAUGCUUUGUUGCAGAUGACAAAGGCGAAAGGGACCUGAACUCUCCGGCUGAGUAGGAACACAGCAGAUUUUCCACAAGAUUCUUUGAAAGUCGCCUUCGUCUGGGCUGAACCCUCACAUCUGGCAGUGGCUCACUUCUGCUGACUCCAAGACCCACAUCCAGGACAUGAAUAUUCAUCGCGUUACUCAUGCUGCGUUCCUUUGCCUCUGAUGUGUUUAGCUCCGAGUACCAGGGAGACACUCCAGAGCAGCUGUGAGGCUUUUGCCAGCUCUUACUCCUCGGGCUAAGCAGGAAAUCAUUUUCCUGUCCCAUGAAACUUUCCAGUGUGAGGCUUUUUUUUUUCUUCUUCUUCUUUUUUUCUCUAUUCCACUUUAGGACAAAAUCUUAAUCUUGAUUCCCAAAUCAAGAUUGACAAAUUUUCUGUGACUCUGGCCACAGAUCUAAACUGCUUUUUUUUUUUUUUUUUUUUUUAAUUUUAUUUUAUUUUUUCCACACAGAAGGAAUGGACUGGUACCAAGUUAUCUUUUAUUUCAAUAAAUAUUAUUUCAGCCUGUUUGUCUCCUCCCUUCAUACCCUGCUUGAAAUUCCAGCUUCAAUCUGAGAACCCAUUUUCCCAAUCAAGGCUUCAAUGAAACUGUUCUAUUUUCAUUUUUUUUUAACAACAUUCUUUAUCUAUUUUAUCUAUUUAUCUGUCUAUCUAUUUAUAUGUACGCACAGAGACAAGUUUCUGACUAGAUUUUCUUUCCUUUUUUUUUUGAGGUUUGUUUUUUGUUUUUGUUUUUGUUUUUUUGAGUUUUUAAGAAUGCAUGAGGAAACGGGGAUGUUCUACUAACCUAGCAAGCACUUUGAUGAACUUUUACUACACAAGGAGGACAAAACAAGCCCACUUGUUGGUAGGAAAACUUCCUUUGUCUGUUGGAACAUUUCCCAGGGUUACUUUCAUCAUUUCCCAAGAAGAAUCCAGCUGUAAAUACAGUGAUUGAUAAGAUUUCUACAGGCUCCUUGUAAGAUAAGUUGUUGCACUCAGAAAGCUGCUGUUCCCACAGUUGUCUGUUGGAAAUAAUAAGCAGGGAAAGGAUGGCAGCAGUUGGUUCCUCUUUGGUAACUGAUAUAAACAUGGGAUCCACCAUCAAAUACCUACAUGGCUGUGAGCAAGGCUGGGGGGAACCUGCCCAGUGCUUGAGCACCUCUCAGCAGCAUGACCCCAGCCUGCCUGGCACAGCCCCACACAGCCCAAAGCAUUGGCUGCCAGAGACUCAGCUCAGCGCUUGGCAGGUUGUGAAUGCUCCAAUACAUAAGCAGCAGCAGCUUGGAAACAAUAAUUGAUGGCUAUUAUUAACUAUUACUACUAGGCACACAGACUAGAGGGAAGUCAACAUGUUUCCAUAAGAGGAAGGGACAAAUUUCUCGAAGAUUUUCUCUAAUUUUCUCUUAGUCACCAUCAGGUUACUGUUUACUAUUAAAAGAGAUUAGUUAAAGAGGUGUCUUCUAUACAAGAAUCACUGUUUGGAAGAAUAAAUUAAUGUAGAUUUAUCUUCCACCAGAAAAGAUGCUUCCCAUUAAACAACCCAUAAACCUUCAUCUAGAUGUUUGGCUUAGUCAAAUAUUUUGUAUGGCACUAAGAUAUUUGACAUUAAGACAUUUGUGUAUAACCUGUGUAUAUUUUAAUAUCUCAUUAAAAUUCCAUUUGGAGAACAUACGGCAUUUAAAAAUUCAUUUGUUAUCUUGAUUGAUGGUAUUUUAGUUGAGCACUGGUUGAGUUAACACCAAAAUAUAAUCUUAGACCUAAGGAAGCAGGCUGUGUAGACCGAACUUUUUGUAGCUUCCCACAAACUCCCUCAGUAUUUCAGUACUUCUUGGCAGCUGUUUUUGUGAAA